rnacentral:rRNA from 1 species
UGGGGAAUAUUGCGCAAUGGGCGGAAGCCUGACGCAGCGACGCCGCGUGGGGGAUGAAGGCCUUCGGGUUGUAAACCCCUUUCAGCAGGGACGAAGGGUGACUGACGGUACCUGCAGAAGAAGCGCCGGCUAACUACGUGCCAGCAGCCGCGGUAACACGUAGGGCGCAAGCGUUGUCCGGAAUUAUUGGGCGUAAAGAGCUCGUAGGUGGCCUGUUGCGUCCGCUGUGAAAACUCAGGGCUUAACCCUGAGCCGGCAGUGGAUACGGGCAGGCUAGAGGUAGGUAGGGGAGAAUGGAAUUCCUGGUGUAGCGGUGAAAUGCGCAGAUAUCAGGAGGAACACCGGUGGCGAAGGCGGUUCUCUGGGCCUUACCUGACACUGAGGAGCGAAAGCGUGGGGAGCGAACAG